AGAGAGAGGCACAGUGACAAAAAGGGACAGAGAGGGAUGUAGAGGGAUAAAAAGACAGAGGGACACUAAUAGACAAAGACGGAGAAACAGAGUAGAGAGACAAGCAAACAGACGGAAAGAAGAAGAGACAGACGGUCUGGGUGAGCGAGCCUGGGGGAAGAAGACGGAGACGCCUCCAGCCCCGCGCGGACUUCUGUCCCGCACCCUCGGGGUUGGGAGAGCGGAGCAGGUUGCGGUAGAGCGGCCGCUGCGGGAAGAGCAGCUUCCAGAUAUGCUCCCACCCUAGAACCCAGCCAUCCCACUCCUGGGGGAUUUAGCCACGGCCACCAAAAGACCCACACUCAAUGCAGCUUUCCCGUGAUGACUCCAGAGCAAGCCCACCCAAGUGCCCGUCGACAGGACCUUUGCACAUGCUGCCCCUUCUGCCUACAAGGCCUUCCACGCCACGCCUCCAGUGGAUGCCUUCAUCUCCAUUCAGAUGUCAUCUCUUGCGGCUUCCCUGGUGGCGCAGGGGUUGAGAGUCUGCCUGCCAAUGUGGGGGACAUGGGUUCGAGCCCUGGUCUGGGAGGAUCCCACAUGCCGCGCGGAGCAACUGGGCCGGUGAGCCACAACUACUGAGCCUGCGCGUCUGGAGCCUGUGCUCCGCAACAAGAGAGGCCGCGGUAGUGAGAGGCCCGUGCACCGUGAUGAGGAGUGGCCCCCGCUCGCCGCGACUAGAGAAAGCCCUCGCACAGAA